CAACCUAAUUCAUGUUUCCGUGGCCGGGCGGGGCGUUCAGACUGCCCGGCUGAACAAGAGAACGGGGUGCGAGUCCCCACGCUGCCGGCACUGUAAGUGUCGAGACGGCCUGCCGUUGGUGAAAGCCAGUCAUUGGAGAAUUCCGAGAAGGCAGACAGGCCGCCGCUCGAGACACAAGUCAGGAGACCUACGGAAACAGACAGCGGCCG
rnacentral:ncRNA from 2 species